UUGACUUACUAAAAAAAAAAACCUUUUAGGGUCACCUUGAUGCGGUGAACAAGUUUUAUACCUUUAUUAUGUAAAAGAUAAGC
rnacentral:tRNA from 1 species